AUGCUUACCUGGUAGGGGAGAUACCAUGAUCACAAAGGUGGUUUUCCCAGGGAAAGGCUCAUCCAUUGCAUUCCAGAUGUGCUGACCCCUGCGAUUUCCCCAAAUGUGGGAAACUCAACUGCAUAAUUUGUAGUAGUGUUCAUGCU
rnacentral:snRNA from 1 species